rnacentral:rRNA from 1 species
UUCGCCCUUAGAGUUUGAUCCUGGCUCAGGACGAACGCUGGCGGCGUGCCUAACACAUGCAAGUCGAACGGAGUAAUUUCUUCGGAGGUUACUUAGUGGCGAACGGGUGAGUAACGCGUGAGAAACCUGCCUUUCAGUGGGGGACAACAGUUGGAAACGACUGCUAAUACCGCAUAAUGUUAUUUGGGGGCAUCCCUGAAUAACCAAAGAUUUAUUGCUGAAAGAUGGUCUCGCGUCUGAUUAGCUAGAUGGCGGGGUAACGGCCCACCAUGGCGACGAUCAGUAGCCGGUCUGAGAGGAUGAACGGCCACAUUGGGACUGAGAUACGGCCCAGACUCCUACGGGAGGCAGCAGUGGGGAAUAUUGGGCAAUGGGGGAAACCCUGACCCAGCAACGCCGCGUGAAGGAAGAAGGCCUUCGGGUUGUAAACUUCUUUUACCAGGGACGAACACAAUGACGGUACCUGGAGAAAAAGCAACGGCUAACUACGUGCCAGCAGCCGCGGUAAUACGUAGGUUGCAAGCGUUGUCCGGAUUUACUGGGUGUAAAGGGCGUGUAGGCGGAGAUGCAAGUUGGGAGUGAAAUCCCGGGGCUCAACCCCGGAACUGCUUUCAAAACUGCAUCCCUUGAGUAUCGGAGAGGCAAGCGGAAUUCCUAGUGUAGCGGUGAAAUGCGUAGAUAUUAGGAGGAACACCAGUGGCGAAGGCGGCUUGCUGGACGACAACUGACGCUGAGGCGCGAAAGCGUGGGGAGCAAACAGGAUUAGAUACCCUGGUAGUCCACGCUGUAAACGAUGAAUACUAGGUGUGGGAGGACUGACCCCUUCCGUGCCGCAGUUAACACAAUAAGUAUUCCACCUGGGGAGUACGACCGCAAGGUUGAAACUCAAAGGAAUUGACGGGGGCCCGCACAAGCAGUGGAUUAUGUGGUUUAAUUCGACGCAACGCGAAGAACCUUACCAGGAUUUGACAUCCAACUAACGAAGUAGAGAUACAUUAGGUGCCCUUCGGGGAAAGUUGAGACAGGUGGUGCAUGGUUGUCGUCAGCUCGUGUCGUGAGAUGUUGGGUUAAGUCCCGCAACAAGCGCAACCCCUACGGUCAGUAGCCAGCAGGUAAAGCUGGGCACUCUGGCCGGACUGCCAGGGAUAACCUGGAGGAAGGUGGGGAUGACGUCAAAUCAUCAUGCCCCUUAUGACCAGGGCUACACACGUGCUACAAUGGCGUAAACAAAGGGAAGCGGAGCCGUGAGGCCGAGCAAAUCUCAAAAAUAACGUCUCAGUUCGGAUUGUAGUCUGCAACUCGACUACAUGAAGCUGGAAUCGCUAGUAAUCGCGAAUCAGAAUGUCGCGGUGAAUACGUUCCCGGGUCUUGCACUCACCGCCCGUCA